rnacentral:rRNA from 1 species
UACGUAUGGUGCAAGCGUUAUCCGGAUUUACUGGGCGUAAAGGGAGCGCAGGCGGCGCGCCAAGUCUGAUGUGAAACCCCGGGGCUCAACCCCGGGCAUGCAUUGGAAACUGGCGGGCUGGAGUGCCGGAGAGGUAAGCGGAAUUCCUAGUGUAGCAGUGAAAUGCGUAGAUAUUAGGAGGAACACCAGUGGCGAAGGCGGCUUACUGGACGGCAACUGACGCUGAGGCUCGAAAGCGUGGGGAGCAAACAGG